CUCGGCCUUCCAAACGAGCCAGGUAUUGGCUGGAGCGCAGGGCUCAGCGGCCAAUUGCAGGGUAGGACCGUGCGACAAGGGGCGGGCCCGCCUCCGCGUCUGCUGCCCGGUGACCCAACUCCGGGUUGGAGCCGUAGCCACCGAAGGUUGCUCUGAAAUGCGCUUUCUGCCACCGCCACUGGGUGGUUCGCUCUCACCUGCGCUGUAUCGGAAGGGAAGAGGAUUUUGAGAACCUGGAUGUGUUCUCCUCGGUGGUUUUCUGCUUUAUUUAUGUGAAAGUUUUUACCAUCAGGCCUGUCCGUUAGUUCCAGGGGAGCAGUUGCCUGUCAGACCAGCAUCAGCCACGGUGGAAACUGAGAAGGUCCCCCCUCAGCACAGCAA